CUGAGACACGGCCCAGACUCCUACGGGAGGCAGCAGUGGGGAAUAUUGCACAAUGGGCGCAAGCCUGAUGCAGCGACGCCGCGUGAGGGAUGACGGCCUUCGGGUUGUAAACCUCUUUCAGUAGGGAAGAAGCGAAAGUGACGGUACCUGCAGAAGAAGCACCGGCUAACUACGUGCCAGCAGCCGCGGUAAUACGUAGGGUGCGAGCGUUAUCCGGAAUUAUUGGGCGUAAAGAGCUCGUAGGCGGUUUGUCGCGUCUGUCGUGAAAGUCCGGGGCUUAACCCCGGAUCUGCGGUGGGUACGGGCAGACUAGAGUGCAGUAGGGGAGACUGGAAUUCCUGGUGUAGCGGUGGAAUGCGCAGAUAUCAGGAGGAACACCGAUGGCGAAG
rnacentral:rRNA from 1 species